GUAAUUGCUCAAAAGAAAAAAAUUAUAUAUAAAAUUAGGACUUCUUUUAUUUUGAAGCUUGAUUGAAUGAUUAGUGACAAUUAGAAGCCCAGCAUUUUCUUGAGGCAAAUGUUUUCUACUCCGACAGCGUUUCCACAUGUUUGAUUGCUCGAAAGAAUAUCUCUUAUGAAUGUUUAAUUGAAGCAUAUUUCACAAAUACAUUAUAUGGUAUGAGCA
rnacentral:lncRNA from 1 species